UUUGUGAGUGUGUUUCUACUAAGAAUAUGAUAAUGUGUUCUUGAAUUUUGUUUAAUACGGAAAUACUUAUUUCUUCUCUAUUUUAGUGCAGUUGGAAUUUGAAAUUACAAUAAUAUUGGUUUUGUGUUCGUUAUGAUGUUUUCUACAAUUCUAUUCUUCAACGCUGUGUCGCUCGCUUGGAAUGGUUACACGGCGCGUGUUAGUAUCAUCUAAUUCUUCGUUACAUUGUCAAUGCUUAUUAUAACCACCUUUACUUAUCCUAAAACUGUAAGUAUAU